rnacentral:rRNA from 1 species
AUGGAUGUGAAAUCUGCUUUCCUCAACGGUGACCUCAUAAAAGAAGUGUACGUGGAACAACCCCUCGGCUACGAGAAGAAAGUUGAAGAAGGAAAAAUUUACAAGCUUAAGAAGGCACUUUAUGGGUUGAAGCAAGCGCCAAGAGCUUGUAACGCAAAGUUAGACCGAAGUUUGGUCUCGCUCGGAUUCAAGAGAUGUCCCCUCGAGGAUCCAAAAGAUAGUCUACCAAGCACCGAAGAACAGGUGAAGACUGAAGACGCGAUCAAGAAGAAGCAUUGGCGUCAAGCUACAGAUGAGCCGACAAUGGCAAAGUCGGUGACUGGGAUUCUACAAGGAACGACGAAGGCAAUACCUAUGGGUAGUAGUAGUCGCAUUUGGGAUCCGGGUUGGUAG